rnacentral:rRNA from 1 species
GUCUACAGCCAUGCUACCUUGAACAAGCCCGAUCCUGUCUGAUCUCGGAAGCUAAGCAGGGUGGAGCCUGAUUUAGUACUUGGAUUGGAGACCACCUAGGAAGACCAGGUGCUGUAGGCG